CUACGGGUUGCUGCAGUGAGGAAUAUUGCACAAUGGGGGGAACCCUGAUGCAGCAACGCCGCGUGGAGGAUGACGCAUUUCGGUGUGUAAACUCCUUUUAUAUGUCAAGAAAAUGACGGUAGCAUAUGAAUAAGCACCGGCUAACUCCGUGCCAGCAGCCGCGGUAAUACGGAGGGUGCAAGCGUUACUCGGAAUCACUGGGCGUAAAGGACGCGUAGGCGGGUUGGAAAGUCAGGUGUGAAAUCCUACAGCUUAACUGUAGAACUGCACUUGAAACUUCUAAUCUAGAGUAUGGGAGGGGGAGAGGAAUUUAGUGGUGUAGGGGUAAAUCCCGUAGAUAUCACUAGGAAUACCUAAAGCGAAGGCGAUCUCCUGGAACAUUACUGACGCUAAGGCGUGAAAGCGUGGGGAGCAAACGGGAUUAAAUACCCCAGUAGUC
rnacentral:rRNA from 1 species